rnacentral:rRNA from 1 species
UACGUAGGUGGCGAACGUUAUCCGGAAUUAUUGGGCGUAAAGGGUGCGUAGGCGGCAUGAUAAGUUAUUGGCGGGGAAUCGAGGCCCAACCUCGUGGAAACUAAUAAUACUGUUUUGCUUGAGUACAGGAGAGGUUAACGGAACUCCAUGUGGAGCGGUAAAAUGUGUAGAUAUAUGGAAGAACAUCAAUAACGGCGAAGGCAGUUAACUAUUCUGUUACUGACGUUGAGGCACGAAAGCGUGGGGAGCAAAACGG